AUGAAGCUGUUUGGUGGGACAAGCGCAGGUAAUCUGAAUCAGGCUUGACUUGAUGGAGAACAGCACGGUUGUGGUAUAAGCUUUUAGUACUUGGGCUCAUGGCAUGAGUGGGGAGGUAGCCAGUUGUGGUAUUACAGCCAGGGAACCUUGGAAAAUGGGCUGCAUCAGAGCCUGCCACCAUUUCUCCCCUGCAGGGAUGUCGGUGUCAUUGCCCUCACUAACGUCAUGGGCUUCAUCAUGAAUCUGCCCUCCAGCCUAUGCUGGGGUCCACUGAAACUGCCCCUCAAAAGGCAGCACUGGAUCUGUGUUCGAGAGGUGGGAGGGGCCUACUACAACCUCGACUCCAAACUCAAGAUGCCCGAGUGGAUUGGAGGCGAGAGCGAGCUCAGGAAGUUUCUAAAACAUCAUUUGCGAGGAAAGAACUGUGAACUCCUGCUGGUGGUACCAGAAGAGGUAGAGGCUCAUCA
rnacentral:ncRNA from 2 species